UACGUAGGGUGCGAGCGUUAAUCGGAAUUACUGGGCGUAAAGCGUGCGCAGGCGGUUGUGCAAGACAGAGGUGAAAUCCCCGGGCUUAACCUGGGAACUGCCUUUGUGACUGCGCGGCUAGAGUGUGUCAGAGGGGGGUAGAAUUCCACGUGUAGCAGUGAAAUGCGUAGAUAUGUGGAGGAAUACCGAUGGCGAAGGCAGCCCCCUGGGAUAACACUGACGCUCAUGCACGAAAGCGUGGGGAGCAAACAGG
rnacentral:rRNA from 1 species